UGUUGUUAACACUUUACUUUGAAAGUCUGAGCUGGGAUCGAUUGGUUCCAAGAAAAAGGAAGAUUAACUGUACCCUGGAAGGUUCUUCUAUUCCUCCAGAAAGGGCGACAGCAGCAGGUACAGCUUAAGAGUAACACAGGAUUACUCUUGGCCAAAGCUCCCAAACGGGUUAAGACCCAGCAUGGAGAAAGGACUGUUCAGCCAACUUCUGUGCCCACCUGCCUGGCAGCAAACCUGCACUCCGCGUGCACACAGAACGGAUCCUUCCUUCCACAGAAAAGGAAACCUCUGAAUGUUUAAUCUUUAUUUCGCAUCAUGCCCUAAUUUUAACAGUUUCUGUACGGUGGCUCAGUGAGGUCCACCAUCCUCAGUGAGGUCCACAGUGAGAACCCUGCAUGCAUUGGCAGAAACACAUUCCUCAAGGUACUUAUAAGAAAAGGAUACUACUAAAGGUUCCUUUGUUUUUAUCCUCCCCAAACUAUUUACUCUGGUGAGCUGCUGAAGGAUUACAGCUGCAGGGCAGCUAGAGAGACUCAAAGGUUAGCAAAAAUGGAGUGAGGUCUUAUGUGGGAGAAAAAGCUACUGAGCUGGGCAAGUAAUCUCAGCAGGUCAAGGAAAGUACUGACCUUCUUUUCAAAUACCAGAGACAUGAGGAAUCUGAGACAAAGUUUGGUGGGUUUUAUUUGUUUUCAGUGAGUUAAGAUAAAGGCUCUUCUUGUCCUGGGUUAUACCGGAGAUUUCAGAAAAGCAGCUUCGUACUUUGCUGUGGCUUUGUGGAAAAUUGGUAGGGCCAAUGGGGGCUUGCACUGCUGAUCAGCUUUCAGCUGCUCUGAUACAUCACUUGGUCUAAUACAUUUCCAUACACACAAUAAAGAGCUUUCAAGGUAUCCAGGAAUUACCACUUGAACAAAUAGGCCUCAGAGCCAGAGGCUGAGUACUGGGAAGGCAGCAGCAGUUGAAUCAGCUCAAGCACAGAAUGAAAUUUGGCUGCUGUCCCUUUCACAGCUGCAUGACCUCUCCUGCUCAGCCCUCCAGCAAAGAGCCUGGGAAUGGGGAGACAUAUUUGAG
rnacentral:lncRNA from 1 species